CGGCUGCUGAGGGAAGGACGGAGUCACCGGCCCACGUGGUGCGCGCCGUGGCCUUUGACCCCGCCGCCGUUUCCCUGCCCCACCCUCGCGCCCGGCCCAGCCCACGGCGGCCCGCGAGGGACAAAACGCGCCGCGCCUGGUUCCCCGCCCACGGACGCGGUGACUUUCCAGAACGUCUUAAAGAUUUGCUAAAUGACCGCGCAGUCUGUCAUCUGCGGUGUUCGCGUGACCCUCAGCGCCCUCCCCACCCGGCAGGCCCUUUCCCGCCGAAUGGGUGCGGCUGGAUUAUUGAGGGAGUGGAGGGUCGCUUAGGGCACGGGCACGAGAGGCGAGGGCGAGACGUGGCUAAUGGGGUCCUCACCUCCAGGCUGGUGUCCUCAUUUUACAGUGGAGGAGGCCGAGACCAAGGGGCUUGGCGGGGACGGAACGGUGAGGUCAGAGAAUGCUGCAGAGGGGACAUUGGGACCAGGUCUUGCAGUGAGUUGAAGUGCUCCAGGCAGAGAGCGCCGGUGGGUCUUUCCUGGCCAGGCCGCAGGGGGCCUUUGGGAAGCACCCGAGGCCUAUAACCUUCGGAGCGUUUGUCAAGCUCUAAUGAGAACUGGAAAGCUUCAGCUUCCCGAGGUGGGCUGGGAGGGCCUUAGGUAGGGCCUCGCACAAAUUGCGAAGGAAAGCCGACCUUGUUCUGGAGAGCACGUGGUGAGGAAAGCCAGCGACUUGAUGUGAGCAUUUAAACGGGAGGAAGGAAGAUGAGAACUGGUAAGAUUCUUCUCGGCCGGGCGGUGCAGCGGCUCACGCCUGUAAUCCUAGCACUUUGGGAGGCCGAAGCCAGGCGGAUGACUUGAGUUCAGGAUUCGGAAGUUUGAGACCAACCUGGGCAACAUUUCAAAACCCCCGUCUCUACAAAAAAUAUUGUUUAAAAAAAGCCAGGUGUAGUGGCACGCGCCUGUAGUCCCAGCUACUUGGGAGCUGAGCUGGGAGUAUCACUCAGGACGGCUCAGAUUGAGCCCAGGAGUUCCAAGCUGCAGUGAGCUAUGAUCGCACCACUGCACUCCUGCCUGGGUGACACAGACACCGUCUCAAAAAAAAAAAAAAAAAAAAAGCCGGGCGCGGUGGCUCACGCCUGUAAUUCCAGCACUUUGGGAGGCAGAGGCGGGCGGAUCACGAGGUCAGGAAUUAGAGACCAGCCUGGCCAAGAUGGUGAAACCCCGUCUCUACUAAAAAUACAAAAAUUAGCUGCGCAUGGUGGUGUGCGCCUGUAGUCCCAGCUACUCGGGUGGCUGAGGCAGAAGAAUCGCUUGAACCCAGGAGGUGGAGGUUGCGGUGAGCCGAGAUCGCGCCAUUGCACUCCAGCUUGGGCAACAAGAGAGAAACUCCGUCUCAAAAAAAGAAAAAAAAAGUGUGCAUAUAUAUAUAUAGUGUGUGUAUAUAUAUAUAGUGUGUAUAUAUAGUGUGUAUAUAUAUAGUGUGUGUAUAUAUAUAGUGUGUAUAUAUAUAAGUGUAUAUAUAAAAUAUAUAUAUUUAUAAUCAAUAUAUAUAAAAGUGUGUAUAUAUGUGUGUAUAUAUACACAUACAUACUUAUGUGUGCGUGUGUAUAUACGUAUGUGUAUACACACACUCGUUCCUCUUUUGUUACACAAAUGUGCAGAAAAUUGUACCUGCUAUUCUUCACUCUGAUUUUUUUUUUACACGCUUUCAGUAGGUGUUCUCAUUCCAUUUACGCUGGAUAAUGUUGUAUUGUUUGGUUGUACCAUAAUUCUUUUAGCCGGUCACCUGACUGAUGGGUACUUAGUUUGUAUUCAUGAAACUCCAGGGUUUUUGAGAAUUGUGCCUAGUGGCCCAGUGCAGCUGAAGUUGGAAGCCCGUGCAUGUUGCUAAUGCUACUCAUAAUAGGAAGCUCAGUUUUAACCCUGGGGGUUGGGGAAGAGCAGCAAGCCUGGGGUUAGAGAAACAGACACGUAUAAAAAGCAUCAUCCAGCCGAGUGCGGCGGCUCACGCCUGUAAUGCCAACACUUUGAGAGGCCGAGGAGAGCAGAUUGUAUGAGCUCAGGAGUUGGACACCAGCCUGGGCAAUAUGGCAAAACCUCAUCUCUACAAAAAAUACAAAAAUUAGCUGGGUGUGGUGGUGUGCGCCUAUAGUCCCUGCUACUCAGGAGGCUGAGGUAGGAGGAUCACUUGAGCCCAAGAGGUUGAGGCUGCAGGAUCUCGCCACUGCACUCCAGCCUGGGCGACAGAGCAAGACCCUGUCUCAAAAAAAAAAAGAAAGCAAAGAAAGAAAAGAAAAGAAAAAAAAAUCAUCCUCUGAUCACAUUCUCCAUAGUCUGGUGGUCUGACCUCUGACCACACAUUAAGCAGACUGAUUCUUGCUUUCACACAGCUUCCACCAAAGUCUUUUCAUCAUAGUCUUUUUUUGGGACAGCAUCUCGCUGUGUAGCUCACGUUGGAGAACAGUGGCAAGAUCUCAGCUCAUUGCAACCCCGCCUCCCGGGUUCAAGCGAUUCUCCUGCCUCAGCCUCCCUUGUAGCUGGGACUACAGGCGCCCGCCACCAUGCCCGACUAAUUUUUGUAUUUUUAGUAGAGAGGGGGUUUCACCAUGUUGGCCAGGCUGGUCUUGAACUCCUGACCUCAGGUGACCUGCCCACCUUGGCCUCCCAUAGUGCUGGGAUUACAGGCGUGAGCCACCGCACCCGGCCUCCAUCAUAGUCUUAACAGCACAUACUCCCAUUUUCCCCAGCUAUUUCCACCAUUGCCUAUAACAAUGUGCUAUGGUUAAGGUGAUCGCAUAGUUUAUCAUUAAAACCAGAACACUUUUGAGAGUGCAAGUGGAACCUAUUAAUAAUGACACAGGGGCAAUAGGCAUAAAUUGAGACCCUCUUGGCCAUACUGGGAUGUCUGGGUCUUGGGUGAGGAGUCCAGCUGCUAGACCCGGGGACUUUGUUAUUUUUUAUUUUUUUUUGAUAUGGAGUCUUGCUCUGUCGCCCAGGCUGGAGUGCAGUGACGUGAUCUCAGCUCAUUGCAACCUCUACCUCCCGGAUUCAAGUGAUUCCCUGCCUCAGCCUCCCAAGUAGUUGGGAUUACAGGCAUGCGUCACCAUGCCCGGCUCAUUUUUGUAUUUUUAGUAGAGAUGGGGUUUCACCAUGUUGGUCAGGCUGGCCUCGAACUUCUGACCUCGUGAUCCGCCCGCCUUGGCCUCCCAAAGUGCUGGGAUUACAGGCAUGAGCCACCGCGCCUGGCCGACCUGGGGACUUCUUGAAGGCAAGAACCAUAACUUAUUUAUCUGGGUGUUCCCAGCAUCUUUCCAGAGCCCAAUGCAUGGUAGGUGUUUAAUGCACAUUUAUUUAUUUUUAAUUUUAUUUUUAGAGACAGGGUCUCAUUCUGUUGCCCAGGCUGGAGUGCAGUGGCAUGAUCACGGCUCACGGAAGCCUCCAACUUAUGGGCUCAAGUGACCCUCCCGUCUCAGUUCCCUGAGUAGCUGGGAUUACAGGUGCACACGACCAUACCCCACUUAAUGCACAUUUGUUGACUGAGUGAAUGAUUUCAGUGUAGAAGGUGCCAGGCCCUGAGGGCUCCACAGGAUGUGGGGGGGCAGCAUUGCUGGCAGCCUGGGGUUUCACCUUUGAGCCCCCCAUUAUUUAUUUAUUUAUUUAUUUUUUGAGACGGAGUUUUGCUCUUGUUGCCCAGGUUGGAGUGCAAUGGCUCAAUCUUGGCUGACCACAACCUCUGCCUCCCAGGUUCAAGCAAUUCUCCUGCCUCAGCCUCCCCAGUAGCUGGGAUUACAGGCAUGCGCCACCAGGCCUGGCAAAUUUUGUAUUUUUAGUAGAGAUGGGUUUUAGUAGGGUUUUAGUAGAGUUUAGUAGGGUUUUAGUAGAGAUGGGUUUAGUAGAGGUGGUUUCUCUAUGUCGGUCAGGCUGGUCUCGAACACCCGACCUCAGGUGGUCUGCCGCCUUGGCCUCCCAAAGUGCUGGGAUUACAGGCGUGAGCCACUGUGCCUGGCUGAGUCCCCCAUUAUUUAUAACAGUUGGCUUUCCUUUCAGACACUCCUUUUGUGUACUGUAUGCUUUGACCUUUGUGUCUAGAACUUCAGAUCAUUUCCAUAAUGCCUGACUGAGACCCACCAGCCUGAGCCCACGGAGGAUGCCAAGCGGAGGCACCUCUCCCUAUCCUCCUCAGGGUCAGUGAGCGUCCGUAAGUGCCUACCGGUCAGCAUGGGGAUCGGUGACCAGUUUGUCCAUGGGCCUAGUGACGAACCAGUCCCAGCAGCUUUAGAAUCUGCAGUUUAAGGCCGGGCGCAGUGGCUCACGCCUGUAAUACCAGCACUUUGGGGGCCAAGGCAGGUGGAUCACCUGAGGUCAGGAGUUCAAGACCAGCCUGGACAACAUGGCAAAACCCUGUCUCUACUAAAACUACAAAAAUUAACCUGGUGAGGUGGCGGGUGCCUGUAAUCCCAGCUACUUGGGAGCUGAGGGAGGAGAAUCACUUGAACCCAGGAGGCGGAGGUUGCAGUGAGCCAAGAUCAUGCCACUGCACUCUAGCCUAGGUGACAGAGCAAGACUCCGCCUCAAAAAACAAAAACAAACAAAUAAAAUAAUCUGCAGUUUAUCUUUGGUGGAUCCCUUCCCCUUUCCCUCGCAGGGUCCUGUUGCACAGCAGGCGUCCUUAGGGCUACCUCAUGGCACUCCUGAGCACUGCAGUUUUCCUAUCUUUUGGGUCCCUGCAUAAAGAUAAGGAGGAGGGUUAUCUAGUCUGAGACCCAGCCUGCAUAAUUAGCCCGCUCAAAGCCUCCCACCUCCCUAAUUACUGUUAUCAUGGAUACACCCACUCAGCAGGCCAUUCCUACAUUCCUAUUUCCCCCUCCUUUGCACAGUUCCCUAGGGGGCUGGAGAGGUGAUGUGGGAACCCAAAUCCCUUCGACUGCGGCACAGAGUCCCCUACUUCCCUGGCCAAUCUCUGGGAACCCCUAGAAAGGAAGUUCUCCACCUCCCUCAACCCCAAAACUGCAUGGGCAGAACUGCCAGGAAGGAAGGGGUAACCGCCAGCAAGAUGCCCUGAGCUUCAGUUUCCCCAUGUGUAAAAUGAAGGGGUUGCACAGAUGAUCUUUAAGAGUUAUCUGAGGCUGGGCGCAGUGGCUCUCGCCUGUAAUCCCAGCACUUGGGGAGACCCAGGUGGGCAGAUCACUUGAGGUCAGAGGUUCGAGACCAGCCUGGCCAACAUGGUGAAAUCCUGGCUCUACUAAAAUACAAAAAAAAAAAAAAAAAAAAAAUCUGCUGGGCAUGGGUGGUGUACACCUACAAUCCCAGCUACUCGGGAGGCUGAGGUGGGAGGAUCACUGGAGCCCGGAAGGAGGAGGUUGCAGUGAGCCGAGAUUGCGCUGCUGCACUCCAGCCUGGGUGACAGUGAGACUCCCUCUCAAAAAAAAACAGCCGGGCGGUGGCUCACGCCUGUAAUCCCAGCACUGUGGGAGGCUGAGGCGGGCGGAUCAUGAAGUCAGGAGAUCGAGACUAUCCUGGCUAACACGGUGAAACCCCUUCUCUACUAAAAAUACAAAAAAUUAGCCGGGUGUGGUGGCAGGUGCCUGUAGUCCCAGCUACUUGGGAGGCUGAGGCAGAAGAAUGGCGUGAACCCAGGAGGCAGAGCUUGCAGUGAGCCGAGAUGGUGCCACUGCACUCCAGCUUGGGUGACAGAGCGAGACUCCAUCUCAAACAAACAAACAAAACAGUUAUCUGGUUUUGACAUUCCAUAUCUCCACCCUGAACUGUGACUCUGGGAUGGGCUUAGUCAAGCAUCCCCAGGGGUCUGUCUGUCUGGGGAACUCUAAUGCCUGUGCCCUGCCCUCCCCACACUUCUCUUUCUUUUUCUUUUCUUUUUUGGGACAGAGUCUCACUCUCUUGCCCAGGCUGGAGUGCAGUGGCAUGACCCCGGCUCACUGCAGCCUCUGCCUCCCAGAUUCAAGCGAUUGUCCUGCCUCAGCCUCCAGAGUAGCUGGAAUUACAGGGUUGUGCCACCAUGCCGAGCUAAUUUUUGUAGUUUUAGUAGAGAUGGGGUUUUACCAUGUUGGCCAGGCUAGUCUCAAACUCCUGGCCUCAAGUGAUCCGCCUGCCUUGGCCCCCCAGAGUGCUGGGAUUACAGGCAUGAGCCACUGCGCCCCGCUCCCUUUCUUUUCUCGUUUUCUGAAAUUGUACAUGAGACUCAAGAGUCUUGGGCAGAUGUUUAUCCAAGGCUGGGCCU
rnacentral:lncRNA from 1 species